UGUGUGUGUGUGUGUGUGUGUGUGUGUGUGUGUGUGUGUGUGUCCUUUUUAGAAAUGCUUGUUGUUGAGGAGGCGGCGACAGGUGUGGAAGAGCUCCUUCUGGGUAAUCAGUGGGAGCAGAUGUGCGGAGCCGAUCAGUCACUCCCCCCCGCACUACUUAAUCGGGCUCCACUCUUCUGUCGACGCCGGAUCGUAAAAGCUGCUCGUCAGUACUGACUCAGUUCUUCAUUUUACCGUUACCUUAGUACGCCAAGUAAUUUGCUCUGCCCCUAGUCAGGACUGCCUUCCGGUAGAGAUCACCCGACCCCCCUGGAUGUGGACUCACCCGGUUCAUCUUCUACCUUCACCUCAGCCAUCCUUCGCCCAGCUCCGGCUUAACCCUCACCAGUCGUCUCCGCAGCCGAGGCGAUUCCACAAGCAUCUACUCUGCGCGAUUCAAAGUAAUAGAAGAGUCGGAGAAAGCUGAGAGUGGCGAGUCGGAACACUCAGGAGACACACAGGAGAGUUUGGGAGGCGAUACAGCAGUAUCAAGUCGAAGACAAGAGGAUAUGAACGAGACGACAUAUGAGGGUGGCUCUCUUAUGAGACUUCAUGGGAUUUACCUGAAGCAGCAGCACAUGAGCCUGCAGUGGCACAAGGUGUAGAGGAGGAGGACAGAUGUACAGGAUGCGCUUGAUACACUACGUGUCAUGCAGAAGUUAAAAGUUAUUCUCCUCGCUAUACUUCUGUUUUUCUGUCCCCAGACCGCUAUUGUUUUCUUUAAUACAAUUCUGACAAUAAACUUUUGUACC
ensembl:lncRNA